GAUGAACGCUGGCGGCGUGCCUAAUACAUGCAAGUCGAGCGAACGGACGAGAAGCUUGCUUCUCUGAUGUUAGCGGCGGACGGGUGAGUAACACGUGGAUAACCUACCUAUAAGACUGGGAUAACUUCGGGAAACCGGAGCUAAUACCGGAUAAUAUUUUGAACCGCAUGGUUCAAAAGUGAAAGACGGUCUUGCUGUCACUUAUAGAUGGAUCCGCGCUGCAUUAGCUAGUUGGUAAGGUAACGGCUUACCAAGGCAACGAUGCAUAGCCGACCUGAGAGGGUGAUCGGCCACACUGGAACUGAGACACGGUCCAGACGCCUACGGGAGGCAGCAGUGGGGAAUAUUCCGCAAUGGGCGAAAGCCUGACGGAGCAACGCCGCGUGAGUGAUGAAGGUCUUCGGAUCGUAAAACUCUGUAAGUAGGGAAGAACAUAUGUGUAAGUAACUGUGCACAUCUUGACGGUACCUAAUCAGAAAGCCACGGCUAACUACGUG
rnacentral:rRNA from 1 species